rnacentral:ncRNA from 1 species
AACAACGAACGGCGGGAAGUCAGCAGAGGCCAUAGUACUCAGAAGAGUAUUGAGGAAGGGC